UACGUAGGGACCAAGCGUUGUUCGGAUUUACUGGGCGUAAAGGGCGCGUAGGCGGCGUGGUAAGUCAGCUGUGAAAUCUCCGAGCUUAACUCGGAACGGUCAGCUGAUACUGCUGUGCUAGAGUGCAGAAGGGGCAAUCGGAAUUCUUGGUGUAGCGGUGAAAUGCGUAGAUAUCAGGAGGAACACCGGUGGCGAAGGCGCACAUCUGGCCCGACACUGACGCUGAGGCGCGAAAGCUAGGGGAGCAAACGGG
rnacentral:rRNA from 1 species